UACGUAGGGUGCGAGCGUUAAUCGGAAUUACUGGGCGUAAAGCGUGCGCAGGCGGUUUUGUAAGCCAGAUGUGAAAUCCCCGGGCUUAACCUGGGAAUGGCAUUUGGGACUGCAAGGCUCGAGUGCGGCAGAGGAGACUGGAAUUCCUGGUGUAGCAGUGAAAUGCGUAGAUAUCAGGAGGAACACCGAUGGCGAAGGCAGGUCUCUGGGCUAUAACUGACGCUCAUGCACGAAAGCGUGGGGAGCAAACAGG
rnacentral:rRNA from 1 species